GCGAACGCUGGCGGCAGGCCUAAUACAUGCAAGUCGAACGGCCGUAGCAAUACGGCAGUGGCAGACGGGUGAGUAACACGUGGGAAUGUACCUCUCGGUUCGGAAUAACCCAGGGAAACUUGGGCUAAUACCGGAUAAGCCCUUACGGGGAAAGAUUUAUCGCCGAGAGAUCAGCCCGCGUCCGAUUAGCUAGUUGGUGGGGUAAUGGCCCACCAAGGCGACGAUCGGUAGCUGGUCUGAGAGGAUGAUCAGCCACACUGGGACUGAGACACGGUCCAGACUCCUACGGGAGGCAGCAGUAGGGAAUAUUGGACAAUGGGCGCAAGCCUGAUCCAGCCAUGCCGCGUGAGUGAUGAAGGCCUUAGGGUUGUAAAGCUCUUUCGGCGGGGAAGAUAAUGACGGUACCCGCAGAAGAAGCCCCGGCUAACUUCGU
rnacentral:rRNA from 1 species